rnacentral:pre_miRNA from 9 species
UCUCGGUAACGUAAAAGUUAACUCAAAUUUGUAUGGAGUCGGAACGUUUGCCUACGUUUACGCUAGGGGCGCUGUUCCAACUGCCUUUAAAAUUGAGUUAACUUUUACGCUUUCGA